rnacentral:lncRNA from 1 species
GGUGAUUACAGCUAUAAAUUUUCCUCUAAGCACUGCUUUAUGGCUGCAUUCUACAAGUUUUGCUUUGUUUUCUGGAGUGGAUAUUCCUCUAAGAUCACCGCGGCAGGAGAGGAGAGAGACAGAAAGAGGACCUUGGCUCCUAACUGCUCCAGUCCAGAAGAGAUGCAGUCACUUUCUGCUCACAUCCUAUUGGUUGGAACUGGCCACAUGACUCCAGACUCCUGCACCUCCUCAGGUGGCCCAGCCCUGCCUCACCUUCUCAGGGAUGCUGGCUUGGACCCCACCCAAGAGAACAGUUGGCAUCUCCAUCACCUAGCCCAGGCCACUGUCCUGAGCUAAUCAGGAGCUACUCAUGGGCUCUCUUCCCUAGAAACUCCUCGAAGCCAGGGAGAAGGGCGGCUUCAUCUCCAGGUUCCCAGCACCAGGUGGCCCAGAAUGGGCUUUAAUAAGCUCCUGCUUGAAUGAGUGACACCCAAUGAUAAUGAUGGUUUGAAUAAAUAAAAGAAUGAAAGAAUGAAUGGGACUGAUUAGAAGAGGCACCAGGAACAAGGUGUCAAGAGACUAAUCUUGAAUCAUGAUUCAGUCACUUCCUCCCUGUGUGACAUGGAGCAAGUUGCUUUACCUCUCUGGGCUUCAUUU